rnacentral:lncRNA from 1 species
AUCAGAUCCGUGCACGUGGCUGCUCUUGGCCUCUCCUUCCCUUCCUCCCACACCAAAAGUCCUACAGGAAAUCUUGGCAGAGCCUUCCCACAGCUCCUGGGCAGGAAAAUCCCUUUUUCCUGUGCGGCUGGGUGGGGGAUUUGGAGGGGAACACAGCAGUGAUGCUGGAGCAGAUCUGCAGGGAAGCUGUGGGGCAAGGGCACAUUAAUUACAUCAGAGGGAAACCCAGAGCUGGAGCUUUGAAAAUGAGAUCAGGAGGAUUACUGGGAAAAUAAUCAGCAGGAAGCAAUCUUACCUUGGAAAUAAAAAAGAGCAGGAGAACACAGGUAGGAAUAUUCCAGUGCUGGUUCCUAACUUGCAAUAAUGAAUUGGUGGCACAUUUCAUAAAACCUCCUCAGAGUGUCCUUGUUUCUUUCAGAGGUGUGUGCAUUAAUAAAGUGAAAAAAAAUUAAAAAAAAAAAGAAAAAAAGAUGGUGUUACCGUGUGUUUAGUGCUGUUUUUCUCCUUAAAAAGGAGUUUGACUCCUGUCUGCCUUGAGUGGGAGCCAGCAGAGGGAGACAAGCCUCUGAGCUUAAUCCAGGCCUGCUUUCUCCUCUCCAACAACUUCUCCAGUUCUUAUUUAUUUAUAUUUUCUUUUUUUUUUCCUUCUGCAUUAUUAUUGUUUGGACUGAGAUACUGUUUUUAUGAAAAAUAGCUCGAAAUUACCCUUACCUUGCAGUUACAGAGAGGAUUAGAUUAAAAAUGCUGCAGAGAGAUUUGGGUGAGCGAACACGUGGCAACAUCUUCCUGUGGGAACAACACAAGGAGCAGAUUGGCCAGGUGAUCAGCCUGGGUGUUGGGAAAAUAUGAAAUCCAGAUCUUUGGAGCAUGCAGAGCAACAGGAGCGCCACCAGCAGCAACGCCUGUCGAUGAAAGCUGCUAAGCUGGAAUUGUUAGAAAAUGCAGGUCUGCAAGAGAGUGGCAGUCACUGGAGUGGGCCAGGCUUUUAUCCCAGCACCAUGGACUUGUGAUGGAAAUGCCAAAACCUCAGUGAAGAUGGACCCUGGGCACAGCUGAAGUUUCACAUUGUUCUUCUCUAGGCAAGACUGUCCUUGUGAUGCUUCUGUUCUCAGACUAAACAGUAAUGAUCCCUGCUUUGUAUCUGUCCAAAAUUCCUCCUAAAUUCAUUAUUGGGAGCCCACUAUGAUAAACAAGUAGGAAAAGAGUCUCACUGCAAUUCUUCUUUCUGCUGGGUCUUCACUUUCUGCCAUCACAAAAAGCAGCACAGAGCUCCAUUUGGAAUUUCUAGCCUGGGUUU